rnacentral:rRNA from 1 species
GAUGAACGCUAGCGACAGGCCUAACACAUGCAAGUCGAGGGACCGGCGCACGGGUGAGUAACACGUAUCCAACCUGCCCUUUACUCUGGGACAGCCUUUCGAAAGAAAGAUUAAUACCAGAUAUAAAGGAGGGGGAGGCGUUCCAGUAGGUUGUGGGGGAGUUAACGGCUCACCCAGCCUCCGAUGGAUAGGGGUUCUGAGAGGAAGGCCCCCCACAUUGGAACUGCGUCCCCGUCCAAACUGCUACGGAGGGCAGCAGUGAGUAAUAUUUGUCAAUGGGCUCUAGCCUGAACCUGCCAAGUAGCGUGAAGGAUGAAGGCUUAGGGGUCGUAAACUUCUUUUAUAGAAGAUGAUGUAUUAUAUGAAUAAGGAUCGGCUAACUCCGUGCCAGCAGCCGCGGUAAUUC